UACGGGGGGGGCAAGCGUUGUUCGGAAUUACUGGGCGUAAAGGGCUCGUAGGUGGCCAACUAAGUCAGACGUGAAAUCCCUCGGCUUAACCGGGGAACUGCAUCUGAUACUGGAUGGCUUGAGUUUGGGAGAGGGAUGCGGAAUUCCCGGUGUAGUGGUGAAAUGCGUAGAUAUCGGGAGGAACACCAGUGGCGAAGGCGACUUCCUGGCCUGUUCUUGACGCUGAGGCGCGAAAGCUAGGGGAGCAAACGGG
rnacentral:rRNA from 1 species